ensembl:lncRNA
GCAAAACUAGAGAGAUAGAGCUUGCAUUAUUUUUGCAGUCUGCGGUUCCAUAACCUCGACCAAUAACGAAAUGAGGAUAAUUAUUACUACUGUUAUUCUUCUGUUUUGUGUGGAAUUUCUGAACUGCAACCAUAACAAAGACAGCGAAGUCUGGAACAACUUUCACUGGAGAGUUGGACUUUGAACCCUGACAGCAGCUGACUUCACCUUAGUAAGGCUAUGCAACUCUGUUGUGUAACACAGAACUGCAAAUCUGUACUCACUCACACACACACACAAAAAGAAUAAAACUUCUAUCUAUUUUUUUUCUGACCUGUGGAUUACUAUGCUGUUUGGAAGAAGAAAAUGUGUGGACUGUACUUGCCUAAAAAUGGACACCAGAUUGUAUGUUAAAGGGGUCAUCGGAUGCAAAAUUGGACUGGACUGGUGUCUUACCUUUGACCCACCCUGAGUGAGCUGUCAUCAGUCCGCCAUUGUGUUGACU